AUCUGCUUUAAGAAUUAACGAAAGCAGUGUCAAGACAGUAAGAUCACAACCUUCUAGAAAACUCCAAGAUAAAAGGGAGAGUUUUCUCUAAAUUGAAACAACUGAAGAAGCUGCAUAUAAACCACAACAACCUGACAGAGUCUGUGGGCCCACUUCCCAAAUCUCUGGAGGAUCUGCAGCUUACUCAUAACAAGAUCACAAAGCUGGGCUCUUUUGAAGGAUUGGUAAACCUGACCUUCAUCCAUCUCCAACACAAUCGGCUGAAAGAGGAUGCUGUUUCAGCUGCUUUUAAAGGCCUUAAAUCACUCGAAUACCUUGACUUGAGCUUCAAUCAGAUAGCCAAACUGCCUUCUGGUCUCCCUGUCUCUCUUCUAACUCUCUACUUAGACAACAAUAAGAUCAGCAACAUCCCUGAUGAGUAUUUCAAGCGUUUUAAUGCAUUGCAGUAUCUGCGUUUAUCUCACAAUGAACUGGCUGAUAGUGGAAUACCUGGAAAUUCUUUCAAUGUGUCAUCCCUGGUUGAGCUAGAUCUGUCCUAUAACAAGCUUAAAAACAUACCAACUGUCAAUGAAAACCUUGAAAACUAUUACCUGGAGGUCAAUCAACUUGAGAAGUUUGACGUAAAGAGCUUCUGCAAGAUCCUGGGGCCAUUAUCCUACUCCAAGAUCAAGCAUUUGCGUUUGGAUGGCAAUCGCAUCUCAGAAACCAGUCUUCCACCGGAUAUGUAUGAAUGUCUACGUGUUGCUAACGAAGUCACUCUUAAUUAAUAUCUGUAUCCUGGAACAAUAUUUUA
rnacentral:sRNA from 1 species